rnacentral:lncRNA from 1 species
GAGUGAGGAAGGGAAAACACCUACCACUUCUAUAUGAUAAGCAGAAGAAGUAAGGAGCAAAAAUUAAGAAGAUAAUAGUACUUUGAUGGUGAAUGUUGCCCAGGGCUUAGCCAGAAAAAAACAAGUCUUGUGGCACUAGUUGGAGUUACAGCUAGAAGAAUGGACUAUGCGGGAGGUGAAAGAUAUUUCCAGGGGACUGUUUAUUAGCCUUGCCCUGAUGAACAUCUUUUUUGCAUGGUAUUCUAAUGUUGCUAGUGUCUAAAAGGUAUGUGAUCUUUAUCUACAUUGCUUUGGAUUUUCAACAUGUGUUAUUUUUCUUGGUAAGAAUGCUAGAGUUAAAACAAAGGAACAAAACAUGCUAAAGCACAAAAAUUUGUUCACAAAGGCAUCUAUACCUCAACACAGAAGUCUAUCCAUUCUAUCCA